rnacentral:lncRNA from 12 species
GCAAAGGCAGCCAGAUACACACACACAACAUAUACAGAAUAUAGGCCAGAUACACACAUACAAAAUAUAAGCUGUAAAUCUUUUAGACAUCACUCCAUUGCUAACAAGUCAAAGAAACAAUAAGGGGUAUACCCCAUGAUUCCAUUUAUAUAAAGGGCAAGCAUAGGCACAUCAGUUCCUGCUGCUGCUAGACAAUGGGUGUCUUUGAGGGGCAGGAAGGGUGUCUUCCUUUGGCAGCAGGAAGGGAGCUGUCCCAAUGCUGUUUCUGGAGCUGGGAUCACUUGUGAGUAUCCUUCACAUUCAACACGACAGGAUUAUAGAAGGUUGGUAGAAAUGGACAUGCUACUUUGAGAUUUUUAAACAAAGGGUCACCUGUCCACAGCAAAGUGAACCU